UCCAGAGAGUCCGACCUGUUAGCAGUCCCCC
rnacentral:piRNA from 1 species